rnacentral:piRNA from 1 species
UCUUGUAUUGCUUCUUUAAAA